UUUGAUAUGUUUGUAAUAAAUGGUUUAGAAUUAAGGGGGAGUGUUAGAAUGGUUAGUUAGUUAGCUUCCAUAUUUGGUAAGUAUUCAAAUGGAAGUUUAGUUAGUUAAAUGCAGAGUUACUAUAAAUAGCUUUGUAAUACAUUGAUUCUAUACAUGGAGUGAAAUUCAUUGAAUAAUUCUUCUUCUCAUCUUCAACUACCAUACACUUAAUUCUAAUUCAUUUUCCUACUGCAACCUUUUUCUAUUGUUUUGUUUCUUCUUCUCCUUCACAGAGUGCAUAGGCACUGGUUUUCUACAACAGGAAGAAGACAGAGAUUCGGUUCCCUUUACCACCUUGUCACGAUGAGAAGGAAAAACAGAGGAUUAGGGAUUGGAAUCCCUUUUCUGGUUCUGGGAAAAGAGGGAACCGUAAACUCCCUUGGAUCUCCGUCACCAUCAAGAGUUUUCCACGCCGUCAUGAAUCGUCGUUGGAGAAUGGAACUCGCCGCCGAAUAAGGAUAGAAGGGAGAAGAGAGGCCAAACGAGGCAGAAGUUGGGGUUUGCGCCACCGGCAACGCACGAACCUCCACCACGUCCUCUAGAGGCUGAAGCGUGGUCCCUAGAGGAGGAAUUGGGAAUAAGGGAUUCAAAUUCCCUUCUCCUUUUGCAGCUGGAGGGAUGCGUGAAUAGGGUGAACCCUUUUUAGGGAUUACAUUCCCUUGUUCUUCUCAAUCACGUGAAAAUGGGAGGGGAGUAACCCAUUUUGUUUUUUUUCCUUCUUUUAAUUAAAUUGUUUUCCUUUUUAUUAUUCUAUUUUCAUUUUUUAUCUUUGGGUAUUUGUUUGAUUAUGCAUUCCUAGC
rnacentral:lncRNA from 1 species